UACGUAGGGGGCUAGCGUUGUCCGGAUUUAUUGGGCGUAAAGAGCGUGUAGGCGGCCAGGUAGGUCUGGUGUGAAAACUCGAGGCUUAACCUCGAGAUGUCAUCGGAAACCAUCUGGCUAGAGUCCGGAAGAGGGAGAGUGGAAUUCCUGGUGUAGCGGUGAAAUGCGCAGAUAUCAGGAAGAACACCAAUGGCGAAAGCAGCUCUCUGGGACGGUACUGACGCUGAGACGCGAAAGCUAGGGGAGCAAACGGG
rnacentral:rRNA from 1 species